rnacentral:tRNA from 1 species
GCCUUCAUGGUGUAGUGGUCAGCACGCUCGACGUGUAACCGAGAGGUCUGCGGUUCGAUUCUUGCCGAAGGCA